UACGUAGGGUGCAAGCGUUGUCCGGAAUUAUUGGGCGUAAAGAGCUCGUAGGCGGCUUGUCGCGUCGGAUGUGAAAGCCCGGGGCUUAACUCCGGGUCUGCAUUCGAUACGGGCAGGCUAGAGUGUGGUAGGGGAGAUCGGAAUUCCUGGUGUAGCGGUGAAAUGCGCAGAUAUCAGGAGGAACACCGGUGGCGAAGGCGGAUCUCUGGGCCAUUACUGACGCUGAGGAGCGAAAGCGUGGGGGGCGAACAGG
rnacentral:rRNA from 1 species